GAUGAACGCUGGCGGCGUGCCUAAUACAUGCAAGUCGAGCGAACAGACGAGGAGCUUGCUCCUCUUACGUUAGCGGCGGACGGGUGAGUAACACGUGGAUAACCUACCUAUAAGACUGGGAUAACUUCGGGAAACCGGAGCUAAUACCGGAUAAUAUAUUGAACCGCAUGGUUCAAUAGUGAAAGACGGUUUUGCUGUCACUUAUAGAUGGAUCCGCGCCGCAUUAGCUAGUUGGUAAGGUAACGGCUUACCAAGGCAACGAUGCGUAGCCGACCUGAGAGGGUGAUCGGCCACACUGGAACUGAGACACGGUCCAGACUCCUACGGGAGGCAGCAGUAGGGAAUUUUCCGCAAUGGGCGAAAGCCUGACGGAGCAACGCCGCGUGAGUGAUGAAGGUCUUCGGAUCGUAAAGCUCUGUUAUUAGGGAAGAACAAAUGUGUAAGUAACUAUGCACGUCUUGACGGUACCUAAUCAGAAAGCCACGGCUAACUACGUG
rnacentral:rRNA from 1 species